rnacentral:rRNA from 1 species
CCUACGGGAGGCAGCAGUAGGGAAUUUUCGUCAAUGGGCGCAAGCCUGAUCGAGCAAUGCCGCGUGAACGAGGAAGGUCUUCGGAUCGUAAAGUUCUGUUGAAGGGGAAAAAGAGCGGAGAGAGGAAAUGCUUUCUGAUUGAUAUUACCCUUCGAGGAAGUCACGGCUAACUACGUGCCAGCAGCCGCGGUAAUACGUAGGUGGCGAGCGUUAUCCGGAAUGACUGGGCGUAAAGGGUGCGUAGGCGGCCUGCUAAGUCUGGUGUGAAAGGUACCGGCUCAACCGGUACAGGCUCUGGAAACUGGCGGGCUAGAGAGCAGGAGAGGGCGGUAGAACUCCAGGUGUAGCGGUAAAAUGCGUAGAGAUAUGGAGGAACACCAGUGGCGAAGGCGGCCGCCUGGACUUUUACUGACGCUGAGGCACGAAAGCGUGGGGAGCAAAUAGGAUUAGAUACCCGUGUAGUC